CCCCCCCCUAAUUUUUGCAAGGGAAGACCCGAUGAAACCCUUUGGGGUGGAUUAGCGGCGGAUUUGUGAGUAACACGUGGGCCCACCUGCCUCAAAGAGGGGAAUAGCCUUCCGAAAGGAAGAUUAAUACCGCAUAAUAUGUUUUGGUCGCAUGACUGAGACAUCAAAGGAGUAAUCCGCUUUGAGAUGGACCCGCGGCGCAUUAGCUAGUUGGUGAGGUAACGGCUCACCAAGGCGACGAUGCGUAGCCGACCUGAGAGGGUGAUCGGCCACAUUGGAACUGAUACACGGUCCAGACUCCUACGGGAGGCAGCAGUGGGGAAUAUUGCGCAAUGGGGGAAACCCUGACGCAGCAACGCCGCGUGAAUGAUGAAGGCCUUCGGGUUGUAAAGUUCUGUCUUCUGGGACGAUAAAGACGGUACCAGAGGAGGAAGCCACGGCUAACUACGUGCCAGCAGUCGCGGUAAUACCUAAGGUGGCAAGCGUUGUUCCGGAUUUACUGGGCGUAAAGGAUGCCUAGGCGUACAUUUUAAGUCA
rnacentral:rRNA from 1 species